UACGUAGGGUGCGAGCGUUGUCCGGAAUUAUUGGGCGUAAAGGGCUCGUAGGCGGUUUGUCGCGUCGGGAGUGAAAACCUCGGGCUUAACUCGGGGCUUGCUUUCGAUACGGGCAGACUGGAGGUAUGCAGGGGAGAACGGAAUUCCUGGUGUAGCGGUGAAAUGCGCAGAUAUCAGGAGGAACACCGGUGGCGAAGGCGGUUCUCUGGGCAUGACCUGACGCUGAGGAGCGAAAGCCAGGGGAGCAAACGGG
rnacentral:rRNA from 1 species